rnacentral:lncRNA from 1 species
CUGCAGUUCAUGAAGACGCGCCCUCUGGGCUGGCAGCCCGACAGUACCUCAUAGCACUUAGUAAGUUUCCCAUGAGCUGAUGGAUCUGCUGCCUUUUUUACCCUUCCUGCUGCAGCUACUGUAGAAGACUCAUGUGCCUCGUUCAUCGUCUCAUGUGAAACACAAAGCACCAGACCUGAGAUCUGAGAGUCAUUUGAUGAGUGUUUUCUACUGUGAAUUCUCUACAAAACACAGUAUGAGGAACUGAGGAGACUAAGGAACUGACAGUGUGGUAGGAAGAAUCAAGUCCAAAGUGUUAAGGGAAGGAAGUGAGGAAGAAGAUAUUAAACUACAUCACCAUCCAGCUGACCCUUCUCGGGAACCACCCCGGAAGUCACCCAGAAGUUUGGAGGAGUUUUUGUUCAUUUGCAUUUUCAGACCUUAGAGUAGUCCAUGGAGG